rnacentral:rRNA from 1 species
UGAAUUUCUAAAGGGCCGCGGUAUUCCUGACCGUGCGAAGGUAGCAUAAUCAUUAGUCUUUUAAUUUGAGGCUCGUAUGAAUGGUCGGACGAGGGAUAAACUGUUUCAAAUAAAAACCUCGAAUUUAACUUUUAAGUGAGAAGGCUUAAAUCACUCAGAAAGACGAUAAGACCCUAUAAAUCUUAACAUUAAGCUUCAUGCUUCUCUAGUUUAUAAGUGCAAAGAGAAGCAUGAUAAAAAUGUUCUGCUGGGGCAGCGAAGAUAUAAUAAACCUAACUGUGUUACUAUCCAAACAAAAAUAAUUGAAUUUUCUAGAUCCUUAUUAAAGAUUCAAAGAUCAAGUUACUUUAGGGAUAACAGCGUUAUUCUUUUUGAGAGUCCUCAUCGAAAAAAGAGUUUGCGACCUCGAUGUUGAAUUAAAAGAUCU